rnacentral:tRNA from 1 species
GGUGUUUAGAGGUUAGCACUCUGGACUUUGAAUCCAGCAGCGGCGGUUCAAAUCCGUCUAAGACCU